AUCCAGAGCUCCUGUGUUCACCUCCCAGGGCAACUGAUGUCUCUCUGACUUCUCUUGAUUCCAAUAUUGUUUCCCCAGACUUGUCUAGCUCACUUGGCUUCAGUAACAGUCGCGCCAAAGCCUGUGUUCUUUCCACUUGAGAAUCCAUUUAAAAUCAGCUACAUUUGGAGAGCUGGCUUCUAUCAAAUAUGCUAAAAACCCAGAUCGAUUUUUUUUAGAAGUUUCCCCUAAUAAGCAAACAACCUAAGCUUUCCCACAUGACUAACACCUCCUAAGAUCAUCUCUAGAAAGAAACAAGAAGCUCUUUGUCCCAAGGGGUUGGCAAAAUCCCGGGAAUGUUGGGACAUUGGGAAUGGGGUCUAAUCCUUCUUUAGGAAGCAUCGUGGCCACACCUCUUCACCUAAAGGACUUCUUUAUGCAGUGGUGGUGGCUGUUGAGGGGGGUGGAAGACGAGGCCCCGCUUGGGAGUCUCUGCUUAACUCUUGGGGAACAAUAACUCCCUUGGACCACCCCCCCUUUUAAAGCCCAAGUCAAGUGCCCUGCUUCAAGGACUCUCCAGAUCUCCUCUCCCUGCUCGGGAGGCAGCAGGGACCUCCACAAUCGUCCACCAUUCCCGAUGCAUCACCAGCGGUUAUGUAGGAAAGAUAUACCGUGUAGGGUCUGGUUAUUAGGAACAUACAGGAAGUAUUUAUGGUCAGACAAAAAAUGAUGCAGCAUUUGAAACACAGGCCAGCCGUGUUUCCAUUUUCAAUGCUUAGUAACUUGAGAGAGCCACGAUGCUAUCAAUUAUUGCUGAUAACGUUUGGAGGGCAGUAUCUCAUAUAAUUGCUAUUGUCUUCUUGCAAAGCGUCCAAGCUUUUGCAUUUGGUCUCACGGUUUCACCAGUGAGAGGGGUGGGGAGAAAGGAAGAGGCAACGCUCUUCAUUAAGGCUAAUUAAUGAGUUACAGAACUCUCUUGCAGUGCUUACUCAGAAAUCUUGGGGCACCUGAGUGGCUCAGUCAGGCGUCUGACUUUGGCUCAGGUCGUGAUCUCAUGGUUCGUGGGUUCGAGCCCUGCGUCGGGCUCUGUGCUGACAGCUCAGAGCCUGGAGCCUGCUUCACAGUCUGUGUCUCCUUCUCUCUCUGCCCCUCCCCUGCUCAUGCUGUGUCUCUGUCUCAAAUAAACAUUAAAAAAAAUAAUAAUAAAAAAAAAAAAGGUGCAGGCUUUCCAUUGGGUGACCUGUUCUCAUUGCUUGAAGAGAGAUCUAUGGACUUCUGGUUCAAAAUGGCAGGUCGGGCAUCUUUUGCUUCUCUUAUUACUGGAGACCUCCCCCCUGCAAUCAAGAUAUUGAAGUGAAAAAGAAAAAAGGAUGGGGAAGGAAUUGUAAAGGGAGAGAAAAUCACAGAGAACAUCUCAGCACCUUUCUCAAAGAUGGACAGCUGAUCGUAGAGAGUUUCCGGAUGGAACAGGAAGAGAAAUUAUAGCCUACGGUAUGUCGGGGCUUGCAGAGGAAACGGGAGUCAGUGUCUGACAGUGAGGCCCUGGGACUCUGUCAGCAGAUGUGAACGCAGCUGGGAGCGAGAAGUAGGGGGACGAGCCAGAAGACUGGUGGAAGGUCUUCGUGUGGACAAGGCAUCGUCCUCCGGCCUCACCCAGUUCACGCGUAAGGAAAAACGGAUGGGGUCCCUGGCGUAGAGCUCUGCUGCCGUGUAAGAAACACUCUCUUCCCGGUGAGUUUUUACCUGGAAUGGGGAGCUCUGGUUGGGGUGUGGUAGUUACCGAUGGGCCCGCUAGAGCUGGGCUACUCCAGGUUCAGGCACCCACACCUGGCCCGCACUUGACUCUAGGCUUCAUUAGAGUUAUUUUCCAUCCUGAGGAAGUUGUGUGGCAGGGGUGGGGAGAGGGGGGAGGACGGCGGUGGGGUGCGGACAGGGAAGCCUGUGCAGAUGUGGACUUGUGGGUUCCAGGCCCACGUCGGGCUCUGUGCUGACAGCUCAGAGCCUGGAGCCUGCUUGGGAUGCUGUGUCUCCCUCUCUCUCUCUGUCCCUCCCCAGCUCGCACUCUGUCUCUCAAAAAUAAACAUUAAAAAAUUAAAAAAAAACAACCCACGAAACCAUGAAAUGUCCAGCUUUAAGUUCAAACAUCCCCACAAGGAACGGCGACUCUGCAGUGUGGAAACUGCUGUCAGGCUGGUCCCCUCUGCACAGAACCAGCCCGUGGCCCCAGAGAGCUGGGAAGAUGCGUCCAUUCCUGCUUCUCCUGGGAGGCCUGAGAAUUUUCCAGUGAACUCAGCAGCGAAAGGAACAGAAGUCUCCAGUUAAAGCUCGGGUUAAAUAUUAAGUUUGCUCGGCCCUUUCAUUCACAGUGUUUUAACUUGUACGUGGUAUUGAAGUCCGGGCCCGGGAAUUAUUUGCACAGGUCCUCCUGCUGGGAAGGACCUCCCGUCCUGUGGAAUUCAAUCAACCAUCACCCAGGGGGCACAGCUGGCACUUCCUGGUCCCUUUACAGACCUUGGUUCCUUAAAGGAGCCUCUCCGCAACCUCCUUCCUCCGUUUUCUGGACGGCAAAGCCGAGGCUCAGAGGGGCAGUGGACUUGCCUAAGGUCUUGAAGCUAGGAAGUCGCAACGGUGGGACUCGAACCCAAGUCCGUCGAGUCCCCGUGGUCUUUUUGUUAUGCUGGCUCCAACCAAAUAUCGAGAAAAUCAGCAGAAUAGACAAACUGACCUCCGUGUAAGGAAUGACCACCCUGGUACCCAGAGUUACCGUGUAGGUACGGGUGACCAACCGUCUCUGUUUGCCCAGGACCGAGCAUAUUCCUGGGUUGUGGGACUUUCGACCCGUGAGUUGGUCACCCCACACGUAGGAUUGUACAGAUUAUUUACUGAACAAAAGCGCCUGACCCAGGAGCCGGAAGAGGCUGCCGUUCAGCCAUCCUCCACGCACCCAGCUGUCCCCUGUGCAUCAGGGCUGUGUCCCCUCCCCCCCAAGGAAGGUACAGUGUGGACUAGCAGAGGCCCGAGGGCAGCAUGUCUCAAGAUGAGCCACAUUGGCAUGGGGAUUAUUUUGAGCUGAAGGCAAUUGAGACCCUACAGGCUCAAGAGAAACGUUUGCCCCUCUUUCAACUACAUAAAAGAAUCUAAAUCAGAGGAUCUUUCCAGAAAUAAGGGUUAUUACCAGAGAUAAGUUUUAUCUUGAGUGACCCAUCUGUAUGGCAGGGCAAAUGUUGGCUUUCCAAACAUGUACUCCUUUUCAUCUUCCUAUGAAUUACAUUCUUUCCCUUUGGAGUCUGAGACCCCUACCCCCUUCUCCUUAGUUCAGAAUGGCAUACGUGCCUCAUUUUGCCUGUCUUUGGAAUUUCCACGUCUGUGUGGAUUCUCUGUACGUAUGCUAUUAAAUCUGCUUUCCUCCUGCUAUUGAUUCUUAGUCCAGCUAGAAUGACCCUUGAAGGGGACAGGAAUUCUUGCUUCCUGAUGCUGGCUACGGUCCCACCCAUUCCUCUGACAUUACUAACCCAGAAGUUUAAGCAGAUGAGUAGUCAAGUGAUGGCAACGUUCAAGAUGGCAGCAGCUCUGUCCCAGGGGUCCUGUCACUGAACAGAUCCCCUGGCUAACGUGUGAUCGACACGGAGCCUAGUUGUGAUGGUUGGUUCUAUGUACCAACUUCACGGAGCUAAGGGAUGCCCAAACAGCUGGUGAAACAUCAUUUCUGGGAGCGUCUGGGAGAGUGUUUCCAGAAGACAUUAGCAUUUGAAUCGGCAGAUCAGGUAAAGAGAUGUCUUCACCUGUGUGGCCGAAGGUUCUGAUCAGAACAGAAAGGAGGAAGGGUGAGUUCUCACUCUCAGCUUGGGGACCCCAUCUUCUCCUGCCCUUGGACGUUGGCGCUCUCCAUUCUCAAGCCUUUCGGACUCGGACUGAAUUGUGCCACCACUUUCCGGGAUCUCCAGCUUGCAGACGAGAGAUGGUGGGCCUUCUCAACCUCUGCCAUCAUGUAAACAACUCCUGUAAUAAGCUUCCUCUUACAUAUACGUCACUCUAUAUAUCCUAUGGGUUCUGCUUCUCCGGAGAACCCCGGCUAAUACAGGAAGCCGCGAAAAAUCUCCUGAGUGAUACCAAAAGCAAAUUUACUGUCCUACAUUGAUUAAAAGUCAACACUUCCAGUCAGGCCGUAUGGGACUUUCUCAGCCACGCUGCCGGCCCCAAGGUUCUGCAUAGUUUUGUGCCCUCCCCACCCUGCAGUAGAUCAACACAGCCCGCAGGCUCCCUUCUGGGCAAACAGACCUGGAAGAUAGUGGGGGGCUGGGCAAGGAAGGGGUCAGCGACAGCAGGAAGUGAGCUCUGCCCUGGCUAGAGGCCAGCCGUCCUUCUGGAUCAGAAGCCACCAUUCAAGACACUUCUCUAAAGAAGACAUCCGGAUGGCCCACAGGCACAUGAAAAGAUGCUCAACGUCGCUCCUCAUCAGGGAAAUACAAAUCAAAACCACACUCAGAUAUCACCUCACCCCGGUCAGAGUGGCCAAAAUGAACAGAUCAGGAGACUAUAGAUGCUGGAGAGGAUGUGGAGACACGGGAACCCUCUUGCACUGUUGGUGGGAAACUGGUG